GAUGAACGCUGGCGGCGUGCUUCAUACAUGCAAGUCGAACGAGAAAUCACCUUCGGGUGACGUAAAGUGGCGGACGGGUGAGUAAUAUGUAGGAAAUCUGCCUUUGGGAAGGGGACAACAGUUGGAAACGACUGCUAAUACCCUAUAUGAGCUUAGUUGAAAUACUAAUCUUGAAAGUUCCGGCGCGCAAAGAUGAGCCUGCACCUGAUUAGCUAGUUGGUGGUGUAAUGGACUACCAAGGCGACGAUCAGUAGCUGGUUUGAGAGAAUGAUCAGCCACACUGGGACUGAGACACGGCCCAGACUCCUACGGGAGGCAGCAGUGGGGAAUAUUGGACAAUGGGCGCAAGCCUGAUCCAGCCAUGCCGCGUGAGUGAAGAAGGCCUUCGGGUUGUAAAGCUCUUUCAGACGUGACGAUGAUGACGGUAGCGUCAGAAGAAGCCCCGGCUAACUUCGUGCCAGCCGCCGCAGUAA
rnacentral:rRNA from 1 species